CAGUCAAGAGCCAAGAGCCAAGAUCAACAACGAUCAAGCGAAACGAGUGAGCGUCGUAUACAAGAACAAAACAGCUGAGCGAUGGAGAGAGUUUUUAAAAACAGUUUAAAACUAAACUGCCUUGAGGCCAAGUCCAAUAGUAACAAACGAAACUCUAAAGUGUAAACUGUUGUGCGAUAGAAACGGGAUAUAUGUACAUACGAGUGCAUACCUACAUACGUAUAUAUGUAUAGUAGUGCAUGCGUUCAUUAGUUAAAACAACCCUUGCUGGACAACAUUAACCAAACGACAAA